rnacentral:lncRNA from 1 species
AACAAUAAAAAUAAAUUCCAAGUGAUUCAAAAGUCCAUGUCUUUUACAUGAAGCAAGCACCUAACACUAAAAAAUAAACUACAUCAUUUGACAUAAUAAAGAAGCAAAAAGAAUACGAGCACAGCUCCCAGUCAAAACAGCUAUUACAUUUCCAAAACUAAUAUCCACAUAGCCAUUAAUUUAUCUGCUGCCAAACCAGGCAAACGCAUUGAGCAUAGGUUGUGGUUGAUGGAGCUGGUCACCCUCUUCCUUGUCAACAACAACACAAACAUGGCACUAACCUGCACCAGCCCUUGUCUGUCAUUUUUUCCACUACAAGCAGCAUGAUCCAAAGAGAAAUGAAAAAAAAAAUGAAGAGUAAUUUGCAGCCUUGUUUUAAGCAUUCUCUACGCGAGGUCAGGGCACUUUUCAUUUGACAUUGUUUUUACACAAAAUGAUCCUUGAUGCAUUUUGUUUCACGGCAUCAUACAGGCUGGCUAGAUAAUAUUAUCUCAAAUUUAUAGAUAAUAUUAUCUUAAGGGUUAUCAUGAUUGUUCUUAAAUUGCAAAGAGAAGUUCAGAAGAACACCAGUUCGAUGCAGUUGGUCAGAUAACUAUGCACAUUUACGUCCUGAUUUGUUCCAUUCCAACAAAAUGUGCUGAAUUCUCCAUGACUGUUUCGCCUUUGUUUUCCCCCCUGUGUGAUCUAUGCUCAGAUAGACCUGGAUUCGACAGCUUACCAGUAACGAUCGAAAAUCACAUAAAAUGAAAAAAGUUGAUAUAAAUUUAGCUCUUAAAUAUAGUGAUCAACAAAAGAGAGGGAGCCCUGUUGUGGUUCUUUUUUUUUUAGAAUUGUAUGAAGGGUGGAGAUUGAGAGAAGAAGAUAGGGAGGCUAUGGUGUCUGGAAGGAAGAUAGAAGGCUAAAGCGUUGUUUGAUGUUUCCAUGUUUUGGUGAUAGCUGCUAAGUUAUAGGAAAUUAACGCAAAUAUUCUCCUUUGUCAUCUCAACAGGCUCAUCAUGAUAUAUUUAAAUAAUUCAUUAAUUGUUAUAUCAGUAGUAAUAAAAUCU